ACUUGCAUUGAUUACGUCCCUGCCCUUUGUACACACCGCCCGUCGCUCCCCGGGACUGAGUUGUUUCGAGAAAGCCACGGACCGGUGAUACUUCAUGCUUCGGUAUGAUUGUCGCUGGAAAGUGGUUUAAUCGCAACGGCUUGAACCGGGGAAAAGUCGUAACAAGGUCACGGUAGGUGAACCU
rnacentral:rRNA from 1 species